rnacentral:rRNA from 1 species
UACAGAGGGUGCGAGCGUUAAUCGGAAUUACUGGGCGUAAAGCGCACGUAGGCGGCUUGGUAUGUCGGGUGUGAAAUCCCCGGGCUCAACCUGGGAACUGCAUCCGAAACUGCCUUGCUAGAGUAUGGGAGAGGGAAGUGGAAUUUCCGGUGUAGCGGUGAAAUGCGUAGAUAUCGGGAGGAACACCGGUGGCGAAGGCGGGUCUCUGGGCCGUAACUGACGCUGAGGAGCGAAAGCAUGGGGAGCGAACAGG